rnacentral:rRNA from 1 species
GAUGAACGCUGGCGGCGUGCCAAAUGCAUGCAAGUCGCACGCAUCCCUUUGGGGAUGAGUGGCGGACGGCUGAGGACCACGUGGGUGACCUGCCCCGCCGUGGGGGAUAACGGGCCGAAAGGUCCGCUAAACCCGCAUACGCUCCCCUUCUUGUAAGAAGGGGAGGAAAGCGGCAACGCGCGGGGGGAGGGGCCUGCGGCCCAUCAGGUAGUCGGCGGGGUAACGGCCCACCGAGCCGAUGACGGGUCCCUGGUCUGAGAGGACGACCAGGCAGACUGGGACUGAGACACGGCCCAGACUCCUACGGGGGGCAGCAGCAAGGAAUUUUCGGCAAUGGGCGCAAGCCUGACCGAGCAACGCCGCGUGGGGGAUGACGGCCUUCGGGUUGUAAACCCCUUUUGGGUGGGACGAUACUGACGGUACCACCCGAAUCAGCCCCGGCUAACUCCGUGCCAGCAGCCGCGGUAAAAC